ACUCGAGUAGGGCGGGACACGUGAAAUCCUGACUGAACAUGGGGGGACCAUCCUCCAAGCCUAAGUACUCCUACAUGACCGAUAGUGAACCAGUACCGUGAGGGAAAGGUGAAAAGCACCCCGACGAGGGGAGUGAAACAGACCCUGAAACUGGACGCCUACAAGCAGUCGGAGGGCGAAAGCCUGACGGCGUACCUUUUGUAUAAUGGGUCAGCGACUUCGUCUCACGAGCAAGCUUAAGCCGUUAGGUGUAGGCGCAGCGAAAGCGAGUCUUAAUAGGGCGACUGAGUUCGUGGGAUGAGACCCGAAGCCGAGUGAUCUAGCCAUGGGCAGGAUGAAGGUGCGGUAACACGCACUGGAGGACCGAACCCAC
rnacentral:rRNA from 1 species